AAUCAUUCAAUUUCCACACAUUUAAUUCCCAUUUUUCAUACAAAAUUCCAAUCAAUUACAAUUCAUCAUUCAUCUUACUAGUUAUUAAGACCAAUUUUGUUUACCAUUCGUUUACAAUCAAGUUCAAAUUCUAAUCCAUAUUUUGAAAUUUUCGGUUACAAUACAUUACCAUUCACAAACUACAAGGGAAAACCUAUAGUACUAUACUAUUCCAUCCAAUUACAUUUCAACAACCAAAUGCCACGAUCUUCUCUCCGUCAAUGAGCAUUGCUAUAACGCAUCCCAUUAAUCCAAUGCGCAACCCAAGUCAGGCUUCAUUAAGCAAACAUUAACCUGCACCGGAAUAAACAAUUACCAACUGAAUCAACCAUAAGUCCAAAUUCAUAUAUAGAAAAUAGAAAAAAAGAAAGAAGGAUAGAUGAACAAAUGAUAGAGGCGAGAAUCUACAUGAAAAGAAACUACCCUGCAAUAGCUGCUACACACGCUCCAAUCACGGAAGUUUCCGCCAAGAAACCAAUUUCCGACAUUGUCAUCACUGCUAUGCAGACGGAGGCUCAACCUGUUGUCAUUAAAUUUCAACUCACCGAACAUUGAUACUGUAAGGAAAAAUCAAGGGCGAGUGGAAAUAGUGUAUUGUCGGUAGCUAAUAAUGCAUCUCACCCGGAAAAGAGUUUGCAGGGGCAGAACUUCACGAUUCCAGUUCAGCCAUGAACUUCUCUUUCAAGCCAUGAGUAACACCCGAUAUUGUUGGCAGCAACAGACUUCAGGUGAGGAGUUGAGGUGGUGUUAUCCGAGACCUUCCUGCAGUAUCAGUUUGCCUUACUUAAUAGAAUAAAUUCCCAACAGGAUUUCACAAGAGAAAGCUCACAGAAUUUACUAAGCAGAAUAGAACAGAAAAUGAAAUACCAAAAUAGCUGACAUAAUGCAAUCUUUCACACUAACUGAUCUCAGCUAAUCAGUUUAUUUUUCACCAAGUAAAUUCAUUUCACAAACAUUAAUUUCAUCUUAAUUUGAAUUUCUAACAGAAUAUAACAUCUAACUAACUGUGCAUUUAAAUCUGAAUUUCAAUUUAAUUUCUAACAAACUGAAAUUACAUUUGAUAUGAGUUUCAUUUGGAAUUUCCAACCAACUUGAUAAAAUCUCUAACUGAAUAUGAAUUACAAAGAAUUUCACCUGAAUUUGUGAAGAAAUUUCUAACAGAUUCUGUUAUAAAAACUGACCUCAUUGUGACUCCAAGGGCUUCACUCCAAUCUGCUUCACUCCAUUCUUCUUCACUCUAACCUUCUUCUGCCAACACCUUCUUCUACCAAUCUUCAAAUUCUUCACACUCCAAUCUUCUUCACUCUAUUUCAUCUGCUUCAUUCUGCAAAUUCUUGACCUUGUUACAUUUGCCGUGAAUUUUAGCUGGUGCCGGUUCAGGGUAUAGUUGUUUGGGCCUACGACCCAAAUGAUUUUUU
rnacentral:lncRNA from 1 species